CCUACGGGUGGCAGCAGUGAGGAAUAUUGGUCAAUGGACGCAAGUCUGAACCAGCCAUGCCGCGUGCAGGAAGACUGCUCUAUGAGUUGUAAACUGCUUUUGUACGAGGGUAAACGCAGACACGCGUAUCUGUUUGAAAGUAUCGUACGAAUAAGGAUCGGCUAACUCCGUGCCAGCAGCCGCGGUAAUACGGAGGAUUCAAGCGUUAUCCGGAUUUAUUGGGUUUAAAGGGAGCGUAGGCGGUCGGAUAAGUUAGUGGUGAAAGCCCGAGGCUCAACUUCGGAAUUGCAUUUGAUACUGUUCGGCUAGAGAGUAGUUGCGGUAGGCGGAAUGUAUGGUGUAGCGGUGAAAUGCUUAGAGAUCAUGCAGAACACCGAUUGCGAAGGCAGCUUACCAAGCUAUUUCUGACGUUGAGGCACGAAAGCGUGGGGAGCAAACAGGAUUAGAUACCCGAGUAGUC
rnacentral:rRNA from 1 species